GCUGGUGGGUAUGAGACUCAGCUAGUAGGAGGGUGACAAGAGACUCAGUCUAGAUCAGAAACAAGUACCAACAUACCAGGAAGGCUGUGUAAAAGGAAAUGCUCCCCAAUUAAAAAAACUAUGACAGGACUCAACCCUUUCCCUGGCCCCCCAAAUUUGAAGAUCUGAUCCAGAUUCCCUGAAGUACAACCUCAAAAUGAAGACUUGGCACUAAGAAAAAAGCCUCAGUACAAAGCCUAGUGAUCAUUGCUUUGUUUUUAGAGGAAAAAACAGGGGAGAAGGAGGUGGACCUUAGCUUGUUAUGGAAGUAAAGGAGCUUAAAGUAGUGAGGUAAAUAAAAAUAAAAAGUCUGCUCUCCUUCCCAAUCCUAUCCAAGGAAAAGGUUUCAACUAGUCUUUCUACUGGAGGGCCAACCUAGGACUUAACGGAGUAUUAAAGAAAAGACCUUCCUUUCUUCUCUCCUCCCAAGGAAAGUGCUUCCAAUAAGGCUACUCACAGAGGGAGAGGUAACUUAGUGUGAAACCUCCACCCCCUUUCUCUUCCAUCAUUGCAUUUACCAGUGGGAACAAGAGCCAGGUAAAAGAAAUGAGGUGACUUGUCUAAGUUCAUAAAGGGAGUCCAUAGCAGUGAUGGGAUUCAAACCCUGGUCCUGGUCCAGAAUGAAGUACUUUUCUUACUGUGCCAGUUGCCAGAGUUUCAUUUGGGAGGAAAAAAAAAAGUUUCUUCAUUGGGAGAAGCAAUUGAAUACAAAGACAGACUGA
rnacentral:lncRNA from 1 species